rnacentral:rRNA from 1 species
UACGUAGGGUGCGAGCGUUAAUCGGAAUUACUGGGCGUAAAGCGUGCGCAGGCGGUUUGUUAAGACAGAUGUGAAAUCCCCGGGCUUAACCUGGGAACUGCAUUUGUGACUGGCAAGCUAGAGUAUGGCAGAGGGGGGUAGAAUUCCACGUGUAGCAGUGAAAUGCGUAGAGAUCGGAAAGAACUCCAACGGCGAAAGCACUCUGCUGGGCCGACACUGACACUGAGAGACGAAAGCUAGGGGAGCGAAUGGG